CUCGGCUAGCUCACGGCGACUGGCGGGAGUCGCCGGAAGAAGCCGACAGAGCCCGAUGAUCCCCGAGCCCGCCCCAGGACGCAUUCCGCGCGGGUCGGUCCAGACCCCUGUGUGAGCGGGGAUAGGGAUGGAAGAAAGAGAUGAGCUGAGUGACUGGCCAGACUCAACGGUCUUCAGGGGUUUCAGGACAUCUAGUGGGGAAUUUAAGACAAUACACAAACGCCUGCAUUAUUCAGGAAUGUUAUGAAUACCUUCAGUAUUCACUGUAGGAUGAAUACACAAUACACUUUUAUUUGGUAAACAAUGAUUAGAAAUAAUUAUGAUGUUUGCCAGUGUGGUAUUCCAGCUCCCUUUCACUCCCACAGUUCCUCAGAAGAUGCUCUCUUAACAAUUAUUGUUCUAUUUUAAUGGAAAGAAACAAAAACUUUGCUGAAAUCCAGUCAGCUUUUUUUCCAGCUUUUGAUGCUUAAGACAGUUCUGAAACUGAUUUGCAAAUGGUUUUGAAUUUGAUAUCUUUAUUUACAAGAACAACACAUAUUAAUCACCAUUGAUCAAAUGUAAUAAAAACAGUCAAAUGUU